GGGACUGUACUUUAACCCGGUAGAAUGGGAGCCUCCAGAGCUCUCGAUCCAGGUUCAAAUCCUGGCAGUCCCA
rnacentral:tRNA from 1 species